UACGGAGGAUGCAAGCGUUAUCCGGAAUGAUUGGGCGUAAAGCGUCCGCAGGUGGCUAUGUAAGUCUGCUGUUAAAGAGUGAGGCUCAACCUCAUAAGAGCAGUGGAAACUACAUGGCUAGAGUGCGUUCGGGGCAGAGGGAAUUCCUGGUGUAGCGGUGAAAUGCGUAGAGAUCAGGAAGAACACCGGUGGCGAAGGCGGCAUCCUGGACCGGUAUUGACGCUGAGGCGCGAAAGCCAGGGGAGCAAACGGG
rnacentral:rRNA from 1 species